rnacentral:rRNA from 1 species
UAUAGUACCGAAGUUCCUGAUUCCACACUGCCAAGAAAAGCCUCUAGCGAGGAAGUGGGUGCCCGUACCGCAAACCGACACAGGUAGUCGAGGAGAGAAUCCUAAGGUGUGCGAGAGAACUCUCGUUAAGGAACUCGGCAAAAUGACCCCGUAACUUCGGGAGAAGGGGUGCUCAUUAAGGGUGUUAAAGCCCUGAAGAGCCGCAGUGAAUAGGCCCAGGCGACUGUUUAGCAAAAACACAGGUCUCUGCAAAGCCGCAAGGCGAAGUAUAGGGGCUGACGCCUGCCCGGUGCUGGAAGGUUAAGAGGAGAGGUUAGCGUAAGCGAAGCUUUGAAUUGAAGCCCCAGUAAACGGCGGCCGUAACUAUAACGGUCCUAAGGUAGCGAAAUUCCUUGUCGGGUAAGUUCCGACCCGCACGAAAGGCGUAACGAUCUGGGCACUGUCUCAACGAGAGACUCGGUGAAAUUAUAGUACCUGUGAAGAUGCAGGUUACCCGCGACAGGACGGAAAGACCCCGUGGAGCUUUACUGUAGCCUGAUAUUGAAUUUUGGUACAGCUUGUACAGGAUAGGUAGGAGCCUUGGAAGCCGGAGCGCCAGCUUCGGUGGAGGCAUCGGUGGGAUACUACCCUGGCUGUAUUGACAUUCUAACCCGCACCCGUAAUCCGGGUGGGAGACAGUGUCAGGUGGGCAGUUUGACUGGGGCGGUCGCCUCCUAAAGAGUAACGGAGGCGCCCAAAGGUUCCCUCAGAAUGGUUGGAAAUCAUUCGUAGAGUGUAAAGGCACAAGGGAGCUUGACUGCGAGACCUACAAGUCGAGCAGGGACGAAAGUCGGGCUUAGUGAUCCGGUGGUUCCGCAUGGAAGGGCCAUCGCUCAACGGAUAAAAGCUACCCCGGGGAUAACAGGCUUAUCUCCCCCAAGAGUCCACAUCGACGGGGAGGUUUGGCACCUCGAUGUCGGCUCAUCGCAUCCUGGGGCUGUAGUCGGUCCCAAGGGUUGGGCUGUUCGCCCAUUAAAGCGGUACGCGAGCUGGGUUCAGAACGUCGUGAGACAGUUCGGUCCCUAUCCGUCGUGGGCGCAGGAAAUUUGAGAGGAGCUGUCCUUAGUACGAGAGGACCGGGAUGGACGCACCGCUGGUGUACCAGUUGUUCUGCCAAGAGCAUCGCUGGGUAGCUAUGUGCGGAAGGGAUAAGUGCUGAAAGCAUCUAAGCAUGAAGCCCCCCUCGAGAUGAGAUUUCCCAUAGCGUUAAGCUAGUAAGACCCCUGAAAGAUGAUCAGGUUGAUAGGUUUGGGGUGGAAGCGUGGUGACACGUGGAGCUGACAAAUACUAAUCGGUCGAGGACUUAACC